rnacentral:tRNA from 1 species
CCUCCUUUCUAAGGAUGAAUAAAAGUAAAAUUUUAUUCUAAAUAAUAUACAUCGGUAAUGUUGACCGUCCUCAUUUCUCUUCUUAAAGUAAUGUUUCCUUCUUGUAGGGCCGGUAGCUCAGUUGGUUAGAGCACACCCUUGAUAAGGGUGGGGUCGAAAGUUCGAGUCUUUCUCGGCCCACCAUACUUAACUGGGGGAUUAGCUCAGCUGGGAGAGCGCCUGAUUUGCAUUCAGGAGGUCAGCGGUUCGAUCCCGCUAUCCUCCACCAGGAAACAUUUAGUUAUUAAAACUGUAAAUAAAAAUAAUUUAUAUCAAUAUCUAUAUCCGAACAUUAAAAGUUAUUAUUUAAUGUUCAAAAUAAAAAUUUGAUCACAUCAUGGAUUAAUUUUCUUUAAAAAAGAAAUUUUUUCUGUGCGUAAAUCAAGCGUUUAAGGGCGUGUAGUGGAUGCCUGGGCACUGAAAGCCGAUNAA